CGGUGGGGUGACUUGUCUGCUUAAUUGCGAUAACGAACGAGACCUUAACCUGCUAAAUAGCCCGCAUUGCUCCGGCAGUGCGCUGGCUUCUUAGAGGGACUUUCGGCUCAAGCCGAAGGAAGUUUGAGGCAAUAACA
rnacentral:rRNA from 1 species